rnacentral:tRNA from 1 species
GGCGAGUAUAACUCAGUUGGUUAGAGUGUCAAAUUGUGGCUUUGAAAGUUACGGGUUCAAGUCCCGUUAUUCGCC